UACGUAGGAGGCAAGCGUUGUCCGGAAUUACUGGGCGUAAAGCGCGUGUAGGUGGUGGGACAAGUCUGCUGUGAAAGCGCCUGGCUUAACCGGGCGAGGUCGGCGGAAACUGUCCGACUCGAGGACGGUAGAGGGGGGUGGAAUUCCCGGUGUAGUGGUGAAAUGCGUAGAGAUCGGGAGGAACACCUGUGGCGAAGGCGGCCCCCUGGGCCGGCCCUGACGCUGAGACGCGAAGGCGUGGGGAGCGAACGGG
rnacentral:rRNA from 1 species